rfam:Ixodes scapularis strain Wikel colony gcontig_1108379250742, whole genome shotgun sequence.
UCCUUGUGCGCUCAGUUGGUAGAGCGCUCCACUGAAACUGGAGAGGUCCCGGGUUCGAUACCAUGGACCAGGCG